UUCCCCUGCGUCAUCUCCCUUUCCUCCGCUCCGCCCCCAUCCCCCCAGAGUCUGCUCCUGCGCAGCGCUAGAACUGCUGCCGUCGAGCGUCGCCAGCAUAGUGCGCUCACACCAGUGGGCUGCUGCACGGCUUUCGGGCGGUGCCAACGUGUGCUCUGCGCUGUAAGCCAUCUCCGUCAGUUCUCCGUGGCCUUCACCGCCUCGAUCUGAAGGACGUCGCGCCUCUUCCGGCUGACUGCAGCGCCAGGAGCAGUCAAGACGAGGGCCACGGCCACGGAUACCAGGGCCGAAGGCUGCGUCGCAUCUGUUGGUUCUGGAGAGGACAAGAAGCGGGGAACCGCUGGUAGAGUGCUACCUCCGUUUCCUCUCGGCCGUGGCCACCGGUCCCGCGCCUGACACCAACGUUCAACCUUUAUCCAUUCCGAACAUGCAGAGACAAUAUAUGAUGUUUCCCUGUUCACUUGCAUGAGAUUAUUCAGAUUUUGUUCAGUGCCAAUUGUUAAUUUGUUAUGACCAUAGUAUGAAUGUACGGGGGACUGGCCUUUCACUUAUUCAGUUUUCAGGUCUUUUGAAGCUCAUAAUUGGAUAUAGAAAAGAAUGAAGGUACUAAGUUUAUAGCAGCUCAUAAUGAAGGUAGUACCGGAUUUUAUGAUUCCCAGAAAUCUGAAACGUUGCAUCAGCUAUCAACUCCCAGUUCGGGUUACGGGCUCAAGGCUGUUUCUCGGCCAAUUUCUUCGCUAUAGAAAUUGACAAUCACAUUUCAUUUCCACGGUGCACAUUUGACUGUUUUAGUACCUCGAUCCAUCGAGGUAUGAUUUGAAAGUUAGUUUGUGGUUACACAUAGGAGCAUGGUAGCUCUCUGUUUGGUCAGACAGUUAAAACCCUGUAUGCUUCAUAUGCCUUCAGUUAUGUUGUCAAAUCCAGUCAUUUACUUGCUUAUGUUAUCAUGCAGGAUAGUUAACCCCAUAAAUGAUCAUAGCAAAUGUCAUCAAAUUGACAAUUUAAGAAGUGAGUACUACAAUGGGGAGCUCCCCGUGACUAAAUUUCUCAACUUGUACAAUAUGCAGUUAUAGGAAAUUUCAGCUAUCCAGGCCCAUCCUUAGCUUAGUCUAGAUGGUGAUAAAACCUUUUUCUUGUACUGCACUUGAAACAUUUAAGAAUUUUGUUGUAUUAGCCCAUUUAUUUGAGGUAUUUUUUGUGUCAACUUAUCAACUCAGUUUACUGCAUGCCUAAAAACACUUCAUAAAACAUGACUAUUUGUGUCCUUCUGCAGCUGAAACAUCUCUAGACAUUCUGACCAUUCUCUGGACAGCGGGUUGACUCUCCUCAUCACUCAUGGGAUACAGUAAGAUUCUGUAAUUUCACGAGCAGGUGAGCUGUAUAGAACAUGCAUUGAAAUGGUGGAAGCAAGACAAACGAGUGUGGCAGUUGUUCUUGGCCCGAGGGAUCUUGCUAUGCCAUCUUGCUUCACCUGUACAAAGCUGAAUAUGUGUAUCUGGUUUUCCCUCAAUAUCUAUUAGUUGU